UACGUAGGGUGCGAGCGUUGUCCGGAAUUAUUGGGCGUAAAGAGCUCGUAGGCGGUUUGUUGCGUCGGCUGUGAAAUCCCCGAGGCUCAACCUCGGGUCUGCAGUCGAUACGAGCAAACUAGAGUGUUGCAGGGGAGACUGGAAUUCCUGGUGUAGCGGUGAAAUGCGCAGAUAUCAGGAGGAACACCGGUGGCGAAGGCAGCUCGCUGGGACGUUACUGACGCUGAGACGCGAAAGCGUGGGGAGCGAACAGG
rnacentral:rRNA from 1 species